rnacentral:rRNA from 2 species
AAAACGACUCUCGGCAACGGAUAUCUCGGCUCUCGCAUCGAUGAAGAACGCAGCGAAAUGCGAUACUUGGUGUGAAUUGCAGGAUCCCGCGAACCAUCGAGUCUUUGAACGCAAGUUGCGCCCAAAGCCUUUUGGCCGAGGGCACGUCUGCCUGGGUGUCACUC